rnacentral:lncRNA from 1 species
GUGCUGUUUUUGGAGACCCGGCUGUUUCUUUUCUCCGGCGGGAGAAGGUGCGUGUUUGCGCAGGGAGAGGAUCCAACGGGGAGAGGGGAGAAGCCGAGCGGGCUCCCGCCGGCGGAGGAGAGGAGGCGGUUUGCCGGCCCCCGGGCACCGUUUGGGGCCAGAGCCAAGGAUUUCGGCCGCCGCCGCAUCCCRGACUGGGGAGCUACAACCGCCGCAGCGGCGGCCUCGCCGCCUACCCGGGUGGUCCGGGAGGAAACCGCGGCCGGCGGCUUCUCCCGACUCCGGCAGCCGGCGCUUGCAGCCAGGCACGAUCCCGCCAGGGGCUGAUUUCCCCCAAAAAACCCUCAUCGGGGGUGUCCGUCAGCAGCUUCAGCCUCCUCGUGGGGCCCCGGAGCCGGUGGCUGCCCAAGGGGGAGUUUGGGGAGUUUCCUCCAGGGAAAACGAGAUCCGGCCUCAGGGAGUGCCGGGAAAGGGUUUUUUUCCCCCCCAAAAAACCAUCCAGCAGAGCAUCAUCCCUGCGGAGAGGCUCCGGAGCGGAGCCGCACGUCGGUGGGCACUGCUGGGAGAACGCUUUUUUGGGAGGGGGAUAUUUGGGGCUGGGAAUGUCCCCGCACGGCCCGGCUCGGGCACAAGGUGCCUCCAGCACCCGCUUCCCAGUGUGGGAAUCCCGCAGCCCAACUCCAAGGCCAAACCAGGGCCUCACCGGUGCUUCUGGCCGGCCCUUCCCUGCCUCUGGCUCUUGGCACCGGGCGGGACCCAUCCGGUGGCCAAAUCCAGCCUCCGAAGGGGAGGCGAUGCCUCGUGGGGGCCUCCGUCCCCACUGCCGGCUCGGGAAGGGCGCGUGCGAGAGCCGGGAGCUGGUGCCUGYGGGGCUGCAGAGCCCCGGCGCGCUCGGUGCACGGGUGGCAGCRCGACCGCAGGGCGCUCGCUCCUCGGGCUCGCGCUCCCGGCUUCGUCUCGGCCCGGGUCGGAGCGUGGGAGCUGGGGACGGACCCAGGAGUCCUGGCACGGCCUGAGCCCGUCUCCGCAGGGCGGGAAGAGCGGGAUCCGCGCCAGGAGCCGGACGUCCCUUUGCACCCRCCGGUUUUAAUUCCUGCCCUUGGUGCCGAGGCUGGAAGGCCGGGGGAGGAAAAAAAAGUGUGAUUUUUGGGCUGUUUCCGCGUCGCGGUCCCGGUUUGCCCGGGGCGAGGGGAAAAACCAGGCUCUUUUCCAUCCCGCCGGCUUUUCCGCCAGGCCUCUGCCGGCUUGGCACCCGGCGGCGCUUUUAUUCAUUGUUUUUCGGCGCCGCGCGAGAAAGUCCCGCUCGCGCCCCGGCUGCAAAUCCCCCCCCCCCCGCUCCGUCCGUCCGCCCCCGGCUCCGCUCCCGCGCCGCCCGAAAACAUCUGGCC